CGCUGUUAAGUGGCUCCACCUAGUGUAGAUAUUGGCACGGUAAAAAUAAAUUGUGCAGCAACGUGGCCAAAAUAACGAACAAAGAGAAUUUAGUAACAAAUUUAUUGAUUAAAUGCAACAAAAAUAAUAAUACAUCGCUAAGACAAAUCACUCGCUUUGCUAUAUGAUAUACAUGAAUAAAAUCAAUCUUUAUUACAUAAAUAUUACACAAAUUUAUAUUGGAUCUUAAAUAGAAUACUUUUUUAUAUCACAAGGUAGCAAGAGUGUACUGUAAGGUGAUUCAUGUAGUAAUGCAAGAAUGUAUGUAAACCGGAAGUCGUCCAAAUUCGAAAGGCAGGGACUAUGUUUAAUAAAUAAUAAAAUAAUAAAUAAAUAGAAUACUUUUUUUCAAUUUUAUAAUCCGUAUAUAAUAAAAUAAUAAAUAAAUAGAAUACUUUUUUUCAAUUUUAUAAUCCGUAUAUAUAAGCAGAGAAAAUAACGAUUGAAAAAUAAGGGAGAAUUGUAACACUGAACUCAGUCUAGAUGCAUUUCCUAAAAGCGCAAAAAUUGUUAUAGUUCAAAGUUUUCUCAAGUUGUAAUUAAGUUAUUAAAAUAUAAUUAUUUGUUUUGAAGGUUA